GGCUAUAGCUCAGUUGGUAGAGCAACUCGUUUACACGCGCGCCAAUGUUUUUCAAGGGAGUUCAUCAUACAAUCAGAAAAAUCGAUCUUGUUGAGAAAUCGAUGUCUUACUCCAUAACUUUGAGGGAACCAUAGCCUGACAAAGGGUUCGGUCCAAUUUGGACGUCCAUUUAGGAGGUGCCAAACAGACCCCAUCAUUGAUUUGAGAUCUUGAUAAGGUGAAUACCCAGUCUAUUCAAUGCUAGGCAUAAUGAGAGUAUAAGGACCUCAAAAAAAUCUCUUUUCGUCAUAUGAACUUUAAGGUGUAUGAAGUUUCAUAUUUGAUUUUUUAAGCAGAAACGAUAGAGACUUCAUUUAACUUAGGUUUAUUUAGGCCAGAGACAGACCUACGUCAAGAUAAUCCCACCUUUGAAACACUUUGGUAAUGCUCCCAAAUAAUGAAUCAGAGCACAUGGAGCCAUUUCCUUAUCUUUUUUUCUGUCAAGAAAAAAAAUGGCAGACUAACUGCUAUAAAUAUCAGUUAAUGAAAGAGCCCAAUGCAAAAAAAAUGCAUGUUGGGUCUUUGAAACAGUUCAGAUCAUUUUAAUAAUAAUAAGUUUGAUCUGUUUUACCGAGAAGGUCUACGGUUCAAGUCCGUAUAGCCCUAUAAAAUAAAAUAAAAAUGAAAAAAUAAAAUUGUAUAAUUUUCAUUUCUUCAUUAUUAUUUCUUGCUUGUAACUAAGUGAAAUUCAACUAUUCCUAUAAGUUUACUCACGGCAAUCGUUUAAGUUUAAGCAGAUGAAAGAAAAAACGCAUAUCAAUGGAUCCAAUCGAUAUUUAUUUUUUCAAUUGCAGAUAAACAAACCAACCUUUCGUCAUUAAUCUUCGGAGGCGAAUUACAUAUUCAUAUCCACAAUAAAAGAAUUAGUGAGACCCCCUUUCUUUUGAUAUCCCCAAUCUUAUUGAAUUUUGGAAGUCAAAUCAUUUCACGGGCCUGGUGAAAUGAAAAACUACGAAGAGGAAUUCACAUGGAUUUAGGAAGGGACUGCUGUAUUUGUGUACAAGCUAAAGUUUUUUGAAAAACGAAUAUCUUUGGUCACUUUCAUUAUCAAAUAGGCUUUUCCUUCGUAUACCUUACUUACCUCGACCUAGCGAAGCACAACACAAAAAAGGUAGUCUUCUUUUUCUGUAUUCAACCAAGAAAAACCCCUCCACCUGGAUUCGAAUCCUAAUACUAUUAUUAAAUAAUAAUAAAAUAAUAAAAGGAAUAUACCAACACAAGAUCUUCUAAAUCUUGAGAUGGAAGUUCCUAUACAUUCUCUUCUAUUUGAUUACUUGUUCCAUUCUAGAUCACUAAAUCACUAAGAAAAAAAAUUAAAAUAAAGACCUCCUGAUUCUAUUUAUAGAAAAAAAUAGAAAUAUUUAAAGAAUUUCUAAUUAAAGAAGAAAAAUUAAAGAAAAACUAAGAUAAUUAAUUAAUUUAGAAUUCCCCGUCUUUGGUUUAGAGAAAAAAACAAGAGAAAGAGGAGAAUUUGUAUAAGAGUAAUAUAUAGUUAGAAGGUUCUACUAACUAAAUAAAAUGGAAAUAAGUAUAAUGGAAAUAAAAUCGGAUUCCAGUCGAUGAAUCUUGCAAUGAGAUAUGCCCUACAAUAAACCAAUAAACAAAGCCAAACUAGGCGGUUCGACCAAAAUGAAUUCUUGUUUUGACUAAUAUAGUUAUGGAUGGCUUGACAAUUACAAUUCGAAUCGACCAAUCGAAUCCAGUAUAUUUUCCACGUUCAUAGGAGUGCGUUUAUGUUUCUGCUUUACGAAUAUGGAUUUUUUUGGGCAUUUCUAAUAAUAUCCAUCCUUGUUCCUAUUUUGGCAUUUUUCAUUUCCGGAGUGUUAGCCCCGAUUAGCAAAGGGCCGGAGAAACUUUCUACUUAUGAGUCGGGUAUAGAACCAAUGGGUGAUGCUUGGUUACAAUUUCGAAUCCGUUAUUAUAUGUUUGCUCUAGUUUUUGUUGUUUUUGAUGUUGAAACGGUUUUUCUUUAUCCAUGGGCAAUGAGUUUUGAUGUAUUGGGUGUAUCUAUAUUUAUAGAAGCUUUGAUAUUUGUUCUUAUCUUAAUUAUUGGUUUAGUUUAUGCAUGGAGAAAGGGGGCAUUGGAAUGGUCUUAACUCCUGAAUAUUCAGACAAUAAAAAGAAAAACGAAAAAAAUAAGAUUGAGACAGUUAUGAAUUCCAUUCAGUUUCCUUUACUUGAUCGAAUAGCCCCAAAUUCAGUUAUUUCAACUACAUUAAAUGAUCUUUCAAAUUGGUCAAGACUCUCUAGUUUAUGGCCGCUUCUCUAUGGUACCAGUUGUUGCUUCAUUGAAUUUGCUUCACUAAUAGGCUCACGCUUCGACUUUGAUCGUUAUGGACUAGUACCAAGAUCGACUCCUAGACAAGCAGAUCUAAUUUUAAUGGAUGGAACAGUAACAAUGAAAAUGGCCUCCUCUUUAGUGAGAUUAUAUAAGCAAAUCCCUGAACCAAAAUAUGUUAUUGCUAUGGGAGCCUGUACAAUUACAGGCGGGAUGUUCAAUACCUAUUCUUAUAGUACUGUUCGGGGAGUCGAUAAGCUAAUUCCUGUAGAUGUAUAUUUGCCAGGUUGCCUAACUAAACCGGAAGCGGGUAUAGAUGCUAUAACAAAACUUCGUAAGAAAAUAUCUCGAGAACUCUAUGAAGAUCGAAUUAGGUCUCAACGAGUGAAUCGGUGUUUUACUACCAAUCACAAGUUUCAUGUUCGACGCAGUAUUCAUACGGGAAAUUAUGAUCAAAGAGUUCUUUAUCAACCACCAUCUACUUCAGAGAUCCCUACGGAAAUCUUUUCCAAAUACAAAAAUUCAGUAUCUUCCCCCGAAUUAGUGAAUUAGACAGGAUUCCUUUGUCCAGAAUAAGAAGUGGUGGGUCAAUUUUCAUAAAUUUAAUCGUAAAUGUGAAAUACUUAUACAAAUAAAAAUGCGGGAGAGAUAAAAAAGAUGCAGGGUCGUUUGUCUGCUUGGCUAGUCAAGCAUGGGCUAAUUCAUAGAUCUUUGGGCUUUGAUUACCAAGGAAUAGAGACUUUACAAAUAAAGCCCGAGGAUUGGCAUUCCAUUGCUGUCAUUUUUUAUGUAUAUGGGUACAAUUAUCUCCGCUCUCAAUGUGCCUAUGAUGUAAUGCCUGGCGGGCUGGUAGCUAGUGUGUAUCAUCUUACGAGAAUAGAGGACGGUGUGGAUCAACCAGAAGAGGUAUGCAUAAAAGUCUUUGCCUCCAGGAGGAAUCCUAGAAUUCCGUCUAUUUUUUGGGUUUGGAAAAGCGUGGAUUUUCAAGAACGAAAAUCAUAUGAUAUGUUGGGAAUCUCUUAUGAUAAUCAUCCACGCUUGAAACGUAUCUUAAUGCCUGAAAGUUGGAUAGGAUGGCCCUUACGUAAGGAUUAUAUUGCCCCCAAUUUUAUUGAAAUACAAGAUGCUCAUUGAAUGAUAAGAAAGUUAUUUCUACUUAGACAAUUUAAGAUAUUCAAGGAUUGCACGUUCUGUUCUAGAUUAAGCAGGUAUAAUUUAGGGAAUUGUCAAUGGGCUAACAAAAAAAGACAAUUAAGGAUUCAUUGUAAUUCUCACAUUUAUUUGGAUGAGUCAUACCAAUAGGAUGAACCAAAUGAGUUCUGCAUCAUGAACUUUAUACUGCGCACAUUACUUAGACGGGUUCUAGAAGGGCAUAUAGGAAGGGAUGGAGAAAUCCGAAAUGAAUAAAUCAAAUAUGAAAGAAAAGACAAAGAAAUGAUAGAAUAUCGAAUUCUAUUUCUUUGGAUCUGAGCUGAAUCUUGUCUAUUUCAACCCCCCUGGAUUCGACUUUUGAGCCUUUCAACAAUUAACCAAUUUUACCUUUCGAAUAUGUAUUACGUAUUCAAAUUCGUUUGAACGAGAGGAGAAAAAAAAGAGGAGAUAGAAUCCAAUUCUUUUCGAUACUUUAUCUAAGAAACUCUACCCAUAUAGAACAUAGUAUGGGGUAUAUCUCGCCAAACUGGAUAAAGCUAUUAUUCUAAUCUAGACUCUAAAAGAAUAUGUAUGUUGAUUCAUAUCAAUUAAUUAGAAAUUAAUUCUAGUGAAGAGAGACCCAUACAAAUUAAUCAUGUGCCAGGAACCAGAUUUGAACUGGUGACACGAGGAUUUUCAGUCCUCUGCUCUACCAACUGAGCUAUCCCGGCUAUUCCCAAUCCAGAUUUUUUAUCAAGGUUGGGACUGGUAACCCGAGGAUUUUCAGGGCUAUACCAAUCCCAAUUGGAACCUCGAACAUGAGAAUUUUAAGUCCCCGUUAACAGGAGGAUUUAGAGUCCUCUGGUCUUCCCAAUUGGAACCGUUCGUUAACAUGAGGAUUUUUAGUUUUCUGCUUGUUACUCAGUUCUCUGCUUGUUACUCUAAUUUUAUCUUAACAAAUUUGAUCUUAACACAUAAACGGGUCUUUGUCAAUAGGUCUUUGUCAAUUAAAAGGACAAAAGUCGAUUAAAAAAUUUUAUCAAAGCCGGGGAAUUUCUUCGAUCUUCAAAAAGAUGACUUUGUAAGUUUCAGUAUUGAGUAAUGAUAUUGGUAAUCAUUCAACUAGGGAUUCCUUGCUCAAAGAUGUUCAGUUCUAUGUGUAUCAUAUAUAUCACAAGGCUUAAGAGAAAGCCAUUUACGCUAAAAUCCAUUUCUAAAAGAAAAAUCCAUUUCUAAAAGAAUAGAGUGAAUGAGAAAGAUAAGUAAUUUGGAACUGCUAAGGAAAGGGGGUCGGAGAAAUAGUUGGGGGUUGAAAUAGUCUUUUUGGGGAUAGAGGGACUUGAACCCUCAUGAUUUUAAAAGUCGAUGGAUUUUCCUCUUACUAUAAAUUUCAUUGUUGUCGGUAUUGACAUGUAGAACGGGACUCUAUCUUUAUUCUCAUAUAAUUAAUCAGUUCUUUAAAAGAUUUAUCAGACUAUGGGGUGAAUGAUUUGAUCAGGGAUUCGGGUCGUCAUUAAUCAUUUGAUAUAGUAUUCAAUACGUAUGUAUAUACGUUUAUCCUUCACUUCAUUCUUUUUCUUUCUGAAGUUUCGAUGUAAAGAUUCCUCUACCAACACAUUUAACUCCAUUUGUUAGAAUAGCUUCCAUUGAGUCUCUGCACCUAUCCUUUUUUUCUGAACCUUUAUUUGUUUUCAGAAAAUAGGAUUUGGCUCAGGAUUGCCCAUUUUUGUUCAUUCCAGGGUUUCUCUGAAUUUGAAAGUGAUCACUUAGUAAGUUUCCAUACCAAGGCUCAAUCCAAUUAAGUCCGUAGCGUCUACCGAUUUCGCCAUAUCCCCCUUUCUUUUUGUUUUGAGAUUAGGAUCUCGUUGUGAUGUCAUUCCUUUUUCUUUUUCUUUCAUUUAUACUGGAACCAUUGAAUUCAUUAGAUACCGAUUCCUAUCUCGAAAACGUGUUUUCUCCUCUUUGAUUUUCUUAACUAUCUUCUAUAGGCGACCUUUUUUUAUCCAAUCAAAAAUGAUUUUAUCAUUUCGGAAUCCGCAAUUCAAUAUAGAUGGAUCUAUACCCCAUCUAUAUGUCCCUCUUCCUGUCAUUUUGCCAUUCAAUUUGGAAUACUUGAACGAUCGAUUCUUGUUUUUUAUCUUCACUUUCGCCUGAAAGCGGAGGAAUGUUUCAUUAAUUAUAACUAACCGUUCCAUUAAACAAUUUUUAAAUAAAUAUAGAAUGAGAGAUAUAUAUGAUAUAGAAUCAAAUAUAGAACUGUAGUAAAAAAGAUUUCAAAUGCCAAAAAAAGAAAUGAAAAAGAAUAUUUACCAUUCAAAUUGAAAAUGAAAAUAAAAAGAAUAUUAACAAUCUUUGCAAUCACUAUUUAAUGAUAUUAGUAUUAGAAUUGUUAUUAGAAUUGUGAUAAAUCGAAAUUCUAGAUUGCUAUAGUAAUCCUUAUGCUCUAGAAUCUAGAAUAUUCAAUAUAAUAUUGAAUAGUUAAUAAUUCCAAUUCCAGUAGUUUAGGCAAUUACUAUGCAUAUAAGACUUAUGUGAUGUGGGCCCACUUAGCUCAGAGGUUAGAGCAUCGCAUUUGUAAUGCGAUGAUCAUCGGUUCGAUUCCGAUAGCCGGCUUUUCCCUAUUCUUUGGUUUCAAAGAAACAUUAUCAAUCAUCUAAAAAAUGGAAAAAAAAGAAUAGGGAAAUAGCGCCUUCCUCCUUUUCCAAAAGCUAUCAAUUUAUUAUAGGAACUUCCAAUUAUGUCAGGAAAGGAUUAUAUAUAUAAUAGAAGGGGUUCUGUAUAUUUAUCCAAUUCACCCCAUUCUUCUUUUCUUUAUAGUAUUUAUAUUAAAUAGUAAUAGUACAAGUACACUAUUUCAGUAAACUUCGCUUCAUUUAGUUCAGUUUAGUUUUAGUUUAGGUUUAUUCUGUAAAAUAAAAUUCAAUAAAAAAUAAAUAGAAAUAAGAAUUAAUUCGAAAUACUAAAUAAGAAAUAAGAAUAAGGAGUCUUUAUGUCGCGUUACCGAGGACCUCGUUUCAAAAAAAUACGACGCCUAAUAAAAAGCCUAGGACCGGAAAUGAUCUUAGAAACCAAUCGCGUUCCGGAAAAAAAUCUCAAUAUCGUAUUCGUCUAGAAGAAAAACAAAAAUUGCGUUUUCAUUAUGGUCUUACAGAACGACAAUUACUUAAAUACGUUCGUAUCGCCAGAAAAGCCAAGGGGUCAACAGGUCAAGUUUUACUACAAUUACUUGAAAUGCGCUUGGAUAACAUCCUUUUUCGAUUGGGUAUGGUUUCAACUAUUCCCGUAGCCCGUCAAUUAGGUAACCAUCAACAUAUUUUAGUUAAUGGUCGUAUAGUAGAUAUACCAAGUUAUCGCUGCAAACCCCAAGAUAGUAUUACGGUAAAGGAUAAACAAAAAUCUAGAGCUCUGAUUCAAAUUUCUCUAGAUUCAUCCCCUCAUGAAGAAUUACCAAAUCAUUUGACCCUUCACCCAUUCCAAUAUAAAGGAUUAGUCAAUCAAAUAAUAGAUAGUAAAUGGGUCGGUUUGAAAAUAAAUGAAUUGCUAGUCGUAGAAUAUUAUUCUCGUCAGACUUAAACCUCAGACUAAACGUAAAAUUUUCUUUCCUUCAAGCGAAGUAUAUAUAUAUAUAUAUAUAUACAUGGAUUCUUGAAAAUAAGGCAAACAGAGAGGUAUUGGGGUGUCUUUUAAUGGUGGAUGCCCUCUCUCUGUUUUGCCACUAAUUAAAAAAUAAAGUAAAAAUAAACCACCAUUUAUCUUAAGGGUAUGUUUGCUUACAUUAUUGUAUUGAAAAUUAGAAGUUUGUGCAAGAUAUAUAGAUACAUAUACAUAAAUAUCUUAAGGGUCUGUUUCACUAAGUUAUUGUUUGUACUGGCUUAUUACAUGUGCUUCUUCUCAUCUUCCUGUUUAUCUAUGAGGCUAUGAUAAUGACUAAUAAAAUUUGUCUAGAGUUGGAUCGGGUAUUUUGAGCUUACCCUGUUGGCGGGGUGACCCGAUAAGGUCUGCAUCCAUGAUGGAUAUGUUGUUUCCUUUUGCCCUGCUUAUAAUAUCUGAGCCUUAAAUUGGAAGUUUAUGCAGUAUGUAUACAUACAUACAUGCAGAAAUCUCUGUUUGCUUUUAAUGCAUGUAUGAUGAUACGUUAGUAUUUGAAAGUGAAAAUAAUGAGGCAAGUUAUCUUUUGAUUAAUAGUUUUUUAGAUUUAUCAAACAUCUCUAUUUGAUUUUUUAUUUUCUUGAUAUAUUUGUAUCUAAUUUUUCUCAAAUUGAGGAUCUAUCAAAAACAAACUCUCUAUAUCCAAUGUAGGGGUAGGGUCUAUGUACAACCUAUCUUCUUAGACCCCUUUUUAUGGAAUAACACUGUGUAUAUUAUUGUUGUUCAUUAAUUUAUAGCUUAGAAAGUUAAGUAUGAAUCGGAUACUUCUUUGUGUUUAAGGUAGUCUGAGUAUUCUUUGAUAUUUGUCGCUCUGUUUUUUCUUGUAUGAAUAUAGAAAUGCUCUGUAUUGGAUUAUAAUAUGUUGUGAGUAGUGUUUUUACCCGUUAGUAUAAGAACUUAUUCCAUUUUUACCAUAAUGAAAAAUGAAAGCAACGUUUUCAACCUCUGUUAAGCCGCUACUGCUACUACUUUACUUGUAUAUCAUGUUGGUGCUUUGUUUCUGUUUUUGUCUCUUCUACGCAAACUUCACUUGAUGUUGAGGUCUAAGUUUGCUUAGACUCUUUAAAAAUGUCAAUGUGUCUCAGUCGAAAGUGCAUAGUACGUCGCCCCAGAGGUAUUAAAGUAUAGAUCUGGACCUGAAUCAGAUGAGUGGAGCAUUGAUUUUGCUCUGUGGUUGUCGACCCUUCUUGGAUAAAAUAGAGGAUGGCAUAUUCAAGGAGUUGAGUUGAUAAUAUUUUAUUCUUGUAGCUCUACUGUUGGAUAACAUUUUAAGUGGUGUUUCAUCUUGGAAAAUUAUGUGAAAGCAUUACAAUCUUUAAGCUCUACUAGGAAAUAAACUUUAUUUUGUCGAAGUGGCAUGUUUACCAUUGUUCACUUUGCAUAAUAUGUUUCAUAUUUACUUGCCUUUCAUUGGAAUAUUGAAAUUUCUCUUUCUGAUUAGCCAUUUUUACAUUUGAAAUUUAAAAUUUCCAUUUGCAAUAAGGUAUUAGUGAUGAAUCUCCUGCGUAGUUUUCCUGUAUUUACUUUAGUUCUUGAGUAGCUUGCUUUGUAGUUUACUUAAAAUUGUUAUUUGUUCCUUUGAGAGUUUUAACUAGUUCUUUUCAUGUUUGAUAAAUUCUUUCUGCUUUAGCUGAUUCAUUAUUGUUUCUAACUCCGGUUCUACUAUGCCAAGGUCCUAUGAAAUAAGCCUGAUUUUCAUCGCAAGCCAUGGCCAACAACUAUAAGCAACGGUGCUAAAUUUUUUUUUUAAGAAAUUAUUGGUGAAAGAUCCUCGUGCUACACUUACUCCUACACAAGCCUUAUGUAAGUAAUGGUAUUCUGAUUUAGUACAACUUUUAAAGUGAUUUUUAAGUUUUACAAUGACCAAGCGUCCCACUUGUGGGAUCACACUAAGAAUAUUGUUAUUAAAUGACCAAGUAUGAUUCAUUUAAGAUGUUUUGCAAGGUCCACAAGAUUCAUUAACUGAAAUUUGUCAUUUUUAGUCACCUACUUCAUUACAAAUGUUCAGUAUUGGAUGUCCAUUAAGACUAUCAGUCCUGACUAAGUAACUUCCACAUUCUUGAUAACUUAUCAGACAACUUUCAAAUUCAACUAUUUUCAUAGCUUUUUCACUCAAUUAGAGGUUAUUGGUGUUCUCAACACCUUUAAGAUGUUAAUAUAAUGAAGCCUAUUUUUCAAACUAAUAUAUUUGAACAUUUCAGCACACCCAUGGGUCCAUGAAGGAGGUGAUGCAUCUGAGGUUCCUCUGGACAUUUCUGUCUUGUCCACCAUGCGAAAGUUUGUCAAAUACAAUCAAUUAAGAAAAAAAUUUGUAUGGGUAACUUCAUAGCUUUCUUAUUUUCUUAGACUGUUCUCUGGCUAGGUCAAAAUAAAAUAUACAUAACAUUAACUUCAUGCAUUUCACUAUCCAGUGAGGAGGAACCCGCAGACGCACGAGAUUAAUUUUUUGCAACUGACGUGGAUAAAAAUAGUUUCAUUAGCCAAGAAGAAAUGAGAUAGGUAUUUCCCAUUUUCAUCAUCUAGUUAGUUUCUUUGUAUACAGUUUUGUAAGCUUUUUGCUAAUAUCACAAGCACUUGUAUUCCUAACGUGCAAUAAAGCAUUGUAUAAUACGUUAUGGCUUAUGACAUUCAAUGUUAAUGCAAGCCCUUGGUAAGGAUCUUCCUUGAAAGAAGAAAGAAUCAUGGGUUCUUGAGAUUCUUCAAGAGGUAAGUUCAUUAUCUAGGAAUAAAGUCAAAAAAUGUAAUGUGACAUGAUAAAUAUUAAGUUCCUGCAAUGUAAUUACCUGAUACGACUUCACGCUACUUAUUUGCGCCCAAUUUAGUACCUACUCCUCUAAAAGGGAAAGAAAAGGAUAAAUUCGCUAAACAGCCAUCCAGAUAAAGGCCCCCAAAGAAGAAGCGAACGAAAAAAAAGAAGAUGAACGAAUGUGAUGGCACAUUAGUAGUUCUGUAGAUCUGAAUCAUAAAUCCAUAUGAUAAUCUGAGGGAUUACUCAACAAUUUUCAAUGCUACUUUUUUGCAUAUACUUGAUUACUUGAUUUGUUCUGCGGUUCAAAAUUGUGAAGCAUUUUAUUCAUUGUUUGGCAGAUUGAUAGUAACACACAUUGGCUUGGGAAUGCUGCAAACACUUGGAAUAGUGAUGUUCUGCGUGAACUUUUUACCUGCUAAAAGGCCAUCAGGAAGAAAGUUGUGGCACUUCUUAUAAAUGUGAAAAUUUCACCUGAUCAAGAAUUUGGGAAAACAUUUCAUCCUCUAAUAAAACAGUAAUCAACAUAAAGUUCAUUAUUUUUAUUUUGUUUCUUGCUUUUGACUAAGAAGAGUAGAAAUUAAUUUUCCUUAGUUCCAAAGACAUGAGCAUGUCUACUCAUUGUUCAAAGUUUGGAUAAUGUUUUGGGGUCGAUUAUGUACAUAUUUAGAUAUAUGGUGUUUGAUACCAAGUCUACAGUAUAUAUACAUAGAAAAUAAUGAUUUCGGUUUGCAUGUAUAUAAUAAAAGGUUACACUUUAUAAGUGUUAUUGUAGAAGAGGUAUAAAAGCUGCACUUUUAAAGCGUGGCCAAUAACAAAGCUAAGGUCAUGCUUUUCAAGUGUAGAAUUAUGAAAUAAAACUCUUUCCAAAGGGAUGCUACAAAGCGUUGCCUUUGUAAUUCAUUGACCACGCUUUUUAAGUUGGGUUGAUAUGGCCACACUUAAAAGCGUGGUUUAAAGUCAAAGGUUAUUCCAUUUUGUCCCACUCCUAGAAAAGUGUAGCCUAAAGGUCGAAAGCAUCACCUUUGAACAAAUGCCACUCGUUUUACUACUUUAGGCCACACUUUAUAAGGGUGGCCAAAAGAUCAAAAUGUUGUAGUGAUUGUUAAUCACACGGUUAAGGUUCAACUUACCAAUAUCAAGUAAAACAAUUAUUAUCAUCUCCCCUCUUUAUAUUAUAGGAAACAAUCAAUUUUAUAUACCUAGUCAAUUUAUCUUAUGUUAGUGACAUCAACUACACAAUUCACCUUACAUUAAAAUCACCAAGGUUGUGCCAGACAACUAAAUUCAUCUCACUUUAACCAAUCACCUUUUAGGCAUAGUUAAUAAUCGAACUCAUUAACUAGAUUAUUCACACAAGAUGACGCAAUAGCACUUCAAGCUCAAAUGUAAUCAUCAAAGAUUGGACGACACAAGGAUCCCUAAUAUCAUUAUCAUUAAUUGGAGCACACAAGGAUCCAAAGUAUCAUUAUCAUUAAUUGGAUCAUACAAGAUGUCACAACCCAAUUUACAAGUCAUAAGGGCACUUACCAAAUUCCUUCGGUAGGUAAGCCAACACCUUAACCCGGAGUUGACGCAAUUGGUUAACAAGGAAAGAAAUGCCCAUUGGCCAAAAUAAACCGACAUAAUUUUUGUAUAAACAGUGUUCCACUAUAAAAAUAUAGUCAAAUACGGAUACCAAUUCCACGACCUGGUAAUAUCAGUACAAGAGCACAUAAAUAUGGUAGAAAUAGAAAUAUAAUCCAAAAAUCUUAAAUAGUCAAUACAUUUGUCUUGAAUAUGAAAUACUUAAUCUAAGAUAAAGGGAAUGCGACUCAAAAGUCUAAGAGCUAACCCUAUCUCCUGAAUGUCAACACUGUACGAAGUACGAACUCAACUCAAGGAUGGUGGCUAGUACUUGGAUCUACACCAAAAAGGUACAGAAGUGUAGUAUGAGUACCAAAACAAUGGAUACCCAGUAGGCAUCAUCUGUCAAUUGAGCUAAGUCAUGAUAUAAAGAUUAUAUAAUACAAGAUCAACAUAUCUAAGUCAAGGUACAAAAUCAAACCUAAAUCGUCUUCAUCAUUAUUGUAUAUAAUAUAAGUAAUUAACCAGAAUAAAAAUAUACCAUAACACAUCAUCACAUAUCAAUACCAUCGUUCAUAAGAGAUAAAUGAGUGAAUAAUAAAACAAUAGGAACACAUUCACAAGCAACACAAAUACAAAGUUCACACCCAUACAUCAACUAGAGCAUAAAGUAAAGAAAUCUAUCACGACGUCCCAUACCAUCGGAUAUUACAUCCAAGGAAAGAAUAACAAUAUAUAUAUACAUAACUAACAACAUAUCCAAAACUCAACAUUAUUUGACCAUAUUUUGCAUUUAUCACAAUUGAACAUUUUCUCACCUUUCAUUAGGAAACAACCUCAACCAUAGGUCCUCAUUCCAUAUUAUCAUCAUUAGACAUGAUUUUAUCCAUUUUUACUAACUAAUGAAUAUUACCAUACAAUGGUCAUUACCUAACCCAUUAACCUCUAGUCAUCAAGUCAUAUAAUCAUUUAAUAGUCAACUAGUCACCACAUAGCUUAUUCUAGUGGCCAACAUUCCUUCACUAAUUAUUAUUUAAUGCUAACAUUACUUACUAGAUGGAUCAUCAUUUUACAACUAGAUACCACUUACCAACUGGUCUUAUUCAUCCUUAAAAAAUAAUCGUUACAGCUCUCUAGUUAUCUAUAAACAUUGACUACUCUACUUUAUAAGUAUUUAACACUAGUGAUCCACAACCGAUUCCCUAAGGUCAAUAUUAAACUCUCAUUUCUCACAUGGAUAUAUAUUAAUUUAUCAUACAUAUCAAUAUCAACAUAUCCCUAGACUUGAAUUAGGUAUCAAUAUCAUCAACAUAUCUUCCAAAGUCAAACCGGGUAUCAAUAUCACCAACAUAUCUCCUGAACUUGAAUCGGGUAUCAAUAUAACCAACAUAUCUCCCGAACUCGAACCAAGCAUCAUCACAAUAUCAAUAUAUCCUUUGGCCUUGUCUGGCAUCAUCAUAACACACUACAUCUUUCGGUCUUUAUCGGACAUCAUCAAAAUAUCAACAUAAAUAAAUAAAUGCCAAUAAAUAAAAAACAAGCCCCAGAAGGGCUCAAGUAAAGUGCGAUACCCACGAGGGCUAAAGUAAAUGACAAGCCACACGAGGAUUAAAGUAAAAGAGAAGUAAGAAAGAGUAUACCUUCAAAUCUCAUCAUUCAUUGUUGAAGAAAAUUUAACCAUAGAUGUAUGAAUUUAUAUAUAUAUAUAUAGCAUAAAUAUUACAAUGCAUUAUCGGAUUCAACAUGGUUAGUAGCAUAGCCCCUCAUGAAAUCAAUAAAUAUGCCUCCUAGAGCCUUAGCAUCAAGACUCACAAUAUUCGUAACGAGAGGGAUUUCUAGCAUAAUCAUUGGUUCGGUUACUAGAAAAAGGCAUAACUUAAAAUAUAUCAUAUCCCAAAGCCCAAAAUAAUAGUCUAGUCAACGGCCUAAAUGGUUACAUAGUCAUGAGCUUGAUUAAUAGCAAAAUCCAUAGUUACUCAUAACAUUAAACAUAAUUUAUUCAACAACCAAAUUUAUUACUUAUCUGAUGAGGCAAAUAAUAAAUUUAAUCCUAAUACAAGUAAAGAUAAAUCCAACUUAUAUGAUACGUGCUUUCUACAUCAAGAUCUCAUAAACAAUGUCCCCACUGCUAUGGGAAUUAAGCGGUCAACCUGUUGGAUAAAACACAAACUGGAGCAUAAGGUUAGGAAAUUUUAAUAGUAAACAACAUACAUGUAGGGCUACUUGUAGACAUAUAACAUGCGGCUACAAAGAAUUAAGAAAUUGUUUUAGGUUAUUGAGUUUUUAGUUUACUUAUAAAAUGUUAAGUACUGAAUAGUUCUACUAGAUAGUUUCCUUAAAAUCUACUAAAAUAACAACUGAUCAAAAAUUCCUAGUGAACUAUCAAAGACUAUUCAUUAUUAUUGACAAACAAUUCAUCAAAGCAUUCAAGAUUUAUCACAGUUCUAAACCUCUACAAACGAAAAAUACAUAUCUUUAAUACUAUAAACAACUAAACAACCAAAAUUUUAACACGAGAUCUUACAAAAUGGGGACACUUAACCCUAACAUGACUGACAUUGUCACUCUCAUCUAACUAAAUCACCUAUAGCACUCUUAUUCCAUCCAUGACACAUGAAGUCCAAAUAACCAAUAUUCUAGCCUACAAGUCAAGUAUUCCAAAAUAUAAUUCAAAUGGCCAAAAUAAUUCAACUAAUCCCAAGUGUUACCAUUUAAUCAAUACAACACCUAAAAACCUUCUCAAUCCAACAAUAUAUCAUAAUUAUACUAUAACAUAGCUCAAUCUAACAAGAAGUAAGCCUAACAUAUCUCAAAUUCAAAGAAAACUCGCGAAUCACUAAACAUUUGCUUUUCCUUUUGGAGAAGCUUCUUCAAGGUUCCAAGCUAUCAUAAACACAAUCUACAUAUCAUUACAAGAAUUUUGAUUUCUAUAUUGCACCAUUGUGCUUUUGUUCCAAAAUGACAUUAAAAACCUCAUAAGUGGGUUCCACAUAUGAAAAAUAUAUUUUCGAGAUUAACCCAGCCUUCAUACAUACUAGGGAACCAUAACCCUCAAGAAACAAGUGAAAAUCAAGCUUAUUUGGUCUAAAAUAAUGCCGUCAAGCUAAUUGGGGUUUUGAUCAAAAAUUCAAGAAAUUAGAGUAUGAAAUGGAAGGAUUUUUACCUUAAAUCCGUUGUUAGUCGCAAAUAUACAUGUUAAACAAGCUUCUAAAUCACCCCCAAGAAUUAAUAUGAAGCUGCCAAGUCUUUAUAGGGCUGCUAGGGUUCAAAAGGAACUGAAAAUGCCAAAAAUUCUAUCAAAGGGCCUUUUUAUACAUUUAAAUGGGUCCGCAAGGUCAAAAACUAUUUUUGAUCUCACAGGCUCAUUCAAACUCUAUUUUUCACGAAUGAACUUUGUAACCCUAAUAAAUUUAACAUACGCAUUGAUGAAGUUGGAUUUUUCAUCUAAGUUCAUUUAGACUACAUGUGGGUCCCACACCUAUAUCUUUCGAUUUUUGACUUUUCGACUAAUGGGUCAAAAUGAGCUUAGGUGUAGUAGGAUCCGAACCAAGGGUCUAUCUAGCCUAAAGUCAAUAUUAAGGAGAUAAUGGUACAGUUAGAAUUUGAAUACGAAAUCAUUUUAUUGAAGUUUUCAUUCAUGGUCAUUUAGAAUCGACGAAGAUUUUAAACUAUAAAUUCACUCUAAAAACAAAUGAACUAUCCGGUAACCAAACUAUCAGUUCCAGCAAGUCAUAAAUGACUUGGGGAAGCUAUGAAAAAUCUCUAAUGGUGAAAAUAAAUAGUAAUACAGAAAAUGAUUGAAAGGGCCAUUACACAAGAAUCCUAAAUAUUAUUGUCAAAACCAAACUACACAGGGAUCCCAGAUAUUAUUAUCAUCAAUAAUUUCACCGAACAUGGAUAUCCAAAUAUAUUGUCAAGGACCAAAUAGAAAUAAAGGGAUAUUUCAAAUUAUUGAAAAUCAAUACAUUCCUCAAAUCGCAAAAAUAAAGACAUACCUCAAAAUCAUACCCAACCUUUAUGAUUUUCUAAUAUCCUAUUGCAACCACUCAUCUCAUUACUUUCAAUAAUCAUUUGAACUUAAAACGUUUGACAAUCGUAAAACUAUGUAAUAGUAACACUAAAAAAUGUCCAUCCAUAUAAGUAAUACACGUCGCAUUCUAUCAUACCACAUCAAAACAUUUAAAGCACAAGUAUCUUCAGACAAUAUCAAAUGAAUUUUUAUAACAUAAACAAUUCAACCUUUAUGCUUAUUAUUGACCUUUACUUGUUGGAAUAUCCUAUUCUAAGCUUUAGUAUUAGUGAGAUACCAGUUGGAACCAAAAAAUCAUUUUGAUAGUUGAGAUACUAAUUGGAAUCUGCUAGAUUCCAAUUAUACUCAACUCAGGGACAUAAAAAAUGUGAUAGAAUCCUUGAUGACUUGUAGCUUUCUACAGAUUUGAUGUAGAUAUCAAAACACCAAUUCGUAGAACUCUACUCAACAUUUGAUCUUGUAUUGGGAGAUCAGUAACCUAGACUCUGAUACCAUCUAGUCACAACCGAACCCACAGAUCAUGUCGGAUACCUACCCAGCUCUAUCCUAGAUAGGAAAACACUUACCACCUAACCAUUAAAUUAUUAUGGAUGACAUUGUUAAAUCUUAAACAUAAUUAAAUCCAUGAAUAAAUAACCUUUUUUUCAACAACAAAAAUUUAUUACAAAAAGAUAUAUUAUGGAAUUGUACGUACAAAUUUCUUUGAACCUUGUUUAAAUUGGCACAAGAGAACUAUAUACAGAAUGGUAACAUUCAUGACACAACAUCCAUGAAAGAUCGAGAGAGAAGGAGCUUUUGGAGAAUGAUCACUGUCACUUCUACAGAAACUACAACUAAUCUGCAAUAUGGUUAUAUCCUUAGAUUAGGAUAUAGUAAGUAUAGUAUUAGCACAAACCAUACAUACUAACAAUUAUUAUUGGUCUACCAGGGUUAGAAAUAAAUAAUAAUGAUGACAAAUAGGUAAUAAACAUUGAGUUAACUUUAAUUCUAGAUACUAAAGCACAUUUAUCCAAAUAUUACUACAAACACAUAGUCUCUCUAUGAACCACCAAAAAUUUAUCUAUAUUAUGUAUAUUUAUUCUUGGAUAAUGCAUAUAUCGUACAAUGUCAUUUCAACUUAUGUAACCCUGUCACAAUCCUUGCAGCGAUAUCUCUAUAAGUUUCACUCUACUAUUAACUAUCAAAAAUUCCAUAACCAAGAUAAUUGAUAGUAUCAACUGCUUUACAAGAUAGGAAUCACAAUACAAAUCACAUAUAUAACUAUAUACAUAGAAAAAUAUGAGUUUACAAAAUUUUGUGUAACACCCUCAAAUUUUGGCUAUUUUAUUUUUGUUUUUUCAAUACUUAAAAUAUCAAUUUUUGGCUCAAGUCAUGAUCAGAGGUGUUAAAAAGGUAUCUCAGAGGAAUUUUGGAAUUUUUGGAUGAAGUUUGGGUUAUUUUUGGGACACAGAGGCAGUAAGCCUCGACGAUAACCCUACAUCACACAGGCUGGAUCUCGCAAUGGGCAUCAUACCACCGAGAUAGGAUCACACGCUAGGUGUCGUUACGUGAAGUCUAGUCCCUGCGAUAGCCACCACAUUAAGAAGGCUGUGUUUUUUGGGGUUACUUUCAAAUAUCUUAGAGGGACUUUUUAGUCUUUUCCCCUUUAAACUAUACACCACAAUUUAAAACAACCAAAAAUAUAGUAUUGUCUUUAUGAAAUCCCCAAACCAUUUUCCCUUUAGAAAAAAAAAA
rnacentral:lncRNA from 1 species